UUCCGGUUGAUCCCGCCGGACCCCACUGCUAUCGAGAUGGGACUAAGCCAUGCUAGUUGAACGACCCGAACUAUGGCGGGAAGUGGCACACUGCUCAGUAACACGUAGCUAACCUACCUUAGGACGGGUACAACCCCGGGAAACUGAGGUUAAUACCCGAUAGGUGUGGAAACCUGGAAUGGUACCACGCCCAAACGUAACGCAACCAUGUUUGCGUAAACGCCCAAGGAUGGGGCUGCGGCCGAUCAGGCAGUUGGUGAGGUAACGGCUCACCAAACCUUUGACCGGUACGGGCCCUGAGAGGGGUAGCCCGGAGAUGGGAACUGAGACAAGGUCCCAGGCCCUACGGGGCGCAGCAGGCGCGAAACCUCCACAAUACACGAAUGUGUGAUGGGGUUAUCCCGAGUGCCAUCCGCUGAGGACGGCUUUUCUUCAUUGUAUGUAGCUGGAGGAAUAAGAGGGGGGCAAGACUGGUGUCAGCCGCCGCGGUAAUACCAGCCCCUCGAGUGGUAGGGACGAUUAUUUAGCCUAAAGCGUUCGUAGCCGGCUUAACCAGUCCUUCGUGAAAUCCGAUGACUUAAUCGUCGGGCGUGCGAGGGAUAUUGUUAGGCUUGGGGACGGGAGAAGUCGACGGUAGUCCCGGUGUAGGGGUGAAAUCCUAUAAUCCCGGGAGGACCACCAGUGGCGAAGGCGGUCGACUAGAACGCGCCCGACGGUGAUGGACGAAAGCUGGGGGAGCGAACCGGAUUAGAUACCCGGGUAGUCCCAGCUGUAAACGAUGCGAGCUAGGUGUUGGGGCAGCCACGAGCUGCUCCAGUGCCGCAGGGAAGCUCUUAAGCUCGCCGCUUGGGAAGUACGGUCGCAAGGCUGAAACUUAAAGGAAUUGGCGGGGGAGCACCACAAGGGGUGAAGCCUGCGGUUUAAUUGGAGUCAACGCCGGG
rnacentral:rRNA from 1 species